rnacentral:rRNA from 1 species
UACGGAGGGGGCUAGCGUUGUUCGGAAUUACUGGGCGUAAAGCGCACGUAGGCGGCUUUGUAAGUUAGAGGUGAAAGCCCAGGGCUUAACCCUGGAAUUGCCUUUAAGACUGCAUCGCUAGAAUCGUGGAGAGGUAAGUGGAAUUCCGAGUGUAGAGGUGAAAUUCGUAGAUAUUCGGAAGAACACCAGUGGCGAAGGCGACUUACUGGACACGUAUUGACGCUGAGGUGCGAAAGCGUGGGGAGCAAACAGGG